rnacentral:tRNA from 1 species
GCCGAUUUAGCACAGGGGCAGUGCAAUUCAUUCGUAAUGAAUAGGUCGUUGGUUCAAAUCCGACAAUCGGCACCA